rnacentral:tRNA from 1 species
AUUUUGAUAGCUUAACCUAAAGCGUCGACCUUGUAAGUCGAAGACCGGAGGUUUGAACCCUCCUCAAGAUA